rnacentral:rRNA from 1 species
UACAGAGGGUGCAAGCGUUGUUCGGAAUCAUUGGGCGUAAAGCGCGUGUAGGCGGCCCGAUAAGUCCGCUGUGAAAGUCCAGGGCUCAACCCUGGGAUGCCGGUGGAUACUGUCGGGCUCGAGUCCGGAAGAGGCGAGUGGAAUUCCUGGUGUAGCGGUGAAAUGCGCAGAUAUCAGGAGGAACACCAAUGGCGAAGGCAGCUCGCUGGGACGUGACUGACGCUGAGACGCGAAAGCGUGGGGAGCAAACAGG